rnacentral:rRNA from 1 species
UACAGAGGUCUCAAGCGUUGUUCGGAUUCAUUGGGCGUAAAGGGGUGUGUAGGUGGCGCGCUAAGUCGGGUGUGAAAUUUCGGAGCUUAACUCCGAAACUGCAUUCGAUACUGGCGUGCUUGAGGACUGGAGAGGAGACUGGAAUUCAUGGUGUAGCAGUGAAAUGCGUAGAGAUCAUGAGGAAGACCAGUGGCGAAGGCGGGUCUCUGGACAGUUCCUGACACUGAGGCACGAAGGCCAGGGGAGCAAACGGG